rnacentral:lncRNA from 1 species
AUGCUGCAGUUGCAGGACAUAGUGGGCUGGGUGGGCAUGAGCCCCAGGGCGCUGCUGGCAGCCAGUGAGGAUGCAGGCAUGGGCUGGCCACGAGUGGGCUGUCUAGGGGGCGGGCACGUGUCUAUGACCCACAGCGCCCACAUCAAGUAGUACUUCAUUUUCUGCACCAUUGAGCUUGCGGUGGAGGAGAUCUGCGCUGUGGUAAGGCCAGUGGAGGAAGGCGAGAUCCAGGGGUUGUGGCUGCUGACUGAGGUGGACCACUGGAUAACAAGAAGGAGCAGCUGGUGCUGGUCACCAACCAGUCGCUGCUCAUCUGCAAAUAGGAUUUCAUCAGCCUUCAGUGCCAGCAGGUGGUCAGGGUGGCGCUCAGCGCGGUAGAUACCAUCUCCUAUGGAGAAUUUCAGUUUCCUCCAAAGUCGCUCAACAAAUAGAGAAAGCUUUUCACAUUCAGUGGGACAAAGUAGAGCCGCCCCUCUUUCAUCAGCAGAUGGAACCCUGGUCUACAAACAUGCCCUAUGCCACUUUCACAGAACACCUGAUGACUGGCAUGGACAAGAAGACAGUGUCUCUGGGCCAUUUGGAAAGCUUCAAGGCUCUCCUAAUCCAAGCUGCCAAGAAAGCCCAGAAGGAAAGCCCACUGCCAGGGCAGGUCUGGUGCUAGAGAGCCCCCUCCUCAUCAAGACCUCCAUGGGGUUGAUGUCCUUCAUUAACAAGGAAGCCAAGCUGGACAACUACAUGACCAGGGGCAACAUAGAUUUCUAG